rnacentral:rRNA from 1 species
AGCCGGUAACACCCGAAGUCAGUAGUCUAACCGCAAGGGGACGCUGCCGAAGUGGGGCUGGUGAUUGGGGUGAAGUCGUAACAAGGUACC